CAACUCUAAGGAAGAGAAGGUUUUCCAUAUCUGGGUUUCUAAGAACUAAAUAAUUACCUGGAAAUUUUGGUUGAAGAUAAGCGCCUUGUCUUACAAAUGAGAAGGAAAAGAGAUGUUACCUAAAUAUCUUAAAUAUAAUAUAUUAAAAAAUAGAAGCUGUGUAUACAAAAGUUUUAAGUCAAGCAGAUAUUUGACACUUCUCUUGUGAAUUUUUUGCUUUAGGCAACCUAACUGGAAAAUUUCUGAAGGAAAACAUGAAUUUUGGUGAAAAAUUAUCUGAUUAUUCCACCCCUAUUAAUCCAAUUAAUCAAAACAUUGAAGAAGAAAAUUGUCCUCACGUUCCACUGGGUUGACAGCCUAGAUGGUGGUAUUCUGUGUGACGUCAAGUUUAGCCUAAAGCUGCCUCCUUACAUAUUUUAGGGUCAGCCUGAAGACCUCUCCACACUUAGUGACUGUCACCUAACUGGGCGUGCCAACAGACCUAACCCACCCUUGCCCCAAGCAGCCGCAUCUCAGCGGAUCACAGCAGCCAGGCGUCACCAUGCACCGUGGCCCGGUUCAAACUGUGUUUAAAUGAGGCCCACGCCAAGCGGUGCCCGUCUGGCUGUUUCUGUGCCUCCGUCCAGUUUUCUUGGCAUCACUGUCCUUUCUCUGUCCACAAAUCUAACCGGACCACGCGACAGCGACGGAGCCGCCCUGAGCCUAUGCUGGGUCCAGGGCUGCCCCAUUCACCAACAGUCAUUUGCUCAAUGAAGCUCUGUGACAUUCAGUUUGUCUGAAGUUUGUCUUUUAACAUUGGUGAUAGAGUGAGAAGUCUGUGAGGAGAAGGGAUAUGAGAUGUUCCAAAAUAUUAUUACAUCACAAGCAAACGGAUUUCUGAGUAAGAGGAUGGUUGGGGCAGGGUCAGGUGGGCCGCACUGGCUUCUGCACUCUCCAGUGUGCCCAGGACCUGCCCGCUCCGAGUGGACCCGACAGCACGGGGGUGGCCUGACGCCGGCUGAGAUGCAGAAUCAGGCCUCUGAGCUACUGAGCUGGAAUCUGCCUUUUGGCCGGACCCGGUUGAUUGGAACCGCGUUCAUUUGAGGAAUGCUCCCUGCGACCAGAGCUCCACCAGGACACUCCUUCCCUCCGCCGGCCACGUUUGCAGGGAGCCCCUGAGAGGCAGCGGCAGCCCGGAUGCUGAAUCCCAUUCGCCCCGGUCAUUUCCGGAGCGUCUUCCAGCCCGUUCCCCGCCAUGACAGCGACGUGUGCUUUGAGCUCAGUCCACAGCAAAGACCACCUUGGUUCUUGUCCCGCCGCAACCACAUCCGAAGAAAGGGGUCAGGUAUUCUAGGCGUACGGGGACUGAUAAAUUCCAAAAAUAUGUUGCCUAGAAAAGAUUGUUAAAAAUAUAAAGGCAAGUUUUAUUCAUUAAUGUUCCCUUGCGCUGUCUGUGAAGAAAGGUAGGUUAAAGAGGUACUUCGAAGCAAAUCUGUACCAGGAAAAUAGAAUUUGUUUUCACAUCUUUUGAAAGAUAAGUGAAAUUCCUUCAGAGUCCACACCCAUGCUUUUAUAAACCUCUGAUACACUAACAAAUCCAAAGAAAAAUUGAAAACAAGCGAGAAAAAGGAGACAGAAAAUGCACAAGAUACACCGCCCUUUUUGUUUGUUUGUGAUUCAGGGCUCAGGAUUGACUGGGUCCUCGGGAGGGGACUCGAGGGCAGAAGGAUCUAUUAAUCUUACAACUAUGUGUUUCAUUUUCCAAGUGGUCAGUUUUUUAGGUUACUUUAUGAAAAACUGAAAUGGAACACAGAAUAUGAACAAUUUCUCAGGGUAAGAGCAGCUAGAUGUAAAAAUAACAUAAUGCAAUUAAAGAAGAAAUCUUCCAGCAAAUAGAACCCCAUUUCGGGGAUUUUCACCGUGGGCGUGAGGGUCACACAAGACUGAAGCCCGCCCAGGAGCAGGCGAGGUCACUGCAGGUGGUCAGUUACAGAGCUCUGCGUCAUAGCCCUCUGGCCCCAGACAAAAUUCACUCAUCUAUACAUUUGCUUGAAAAUGCAUUAUUUGAUAUUCAUUUUGUAUACUUAAAUACAAAAUGAAAUGUAACCUGAUAUUGAAAAUAAAAACUCCAGGCAACGUCUACAUUUCUAUGUAUUUAGUCUUUUCAAGGUCUACAUUUUAAAAGCAAGAAAUGAACAAAGUUAGGAAUACAUUAUUACUCUGGCAGGAAAAUUAGACGGAUUGAUGAAGUGGGUUCUGUCUAUUGUUAUUUAUCCUACUAGAAAUUAAACUAAAAAAACUUAAAAUGUUUUUAUUCUUUAAUUAAAAGCACAAUAGUAAAUCCAUUACAUGCCAACAUAAAUAACGUGUAAUGAAAAAUAAAUGUAAUUUUUGAACCAAACCAUCUUGACUGACAAGAG
rnacentral:lncRNA from 1 species